CUACGUGCCAGCAGCCGCGGUAAUACGUAGGUGGCAAGCGUUGUCCGGAAUUAUUGGGCGUAAAGCGCGCGCAGGUGGUUUAAUAAGUCUGAUGUGAAAUCCCCGGGCUCAACCUGGGAACUGCGUUCUGAACUGGGUGACUAGAGUGUGUCAGAGGGAGGUAGAAUUCCACGUGUAGCAGUGAAAUGCGUAGAGAUGUGGAGGAAUACCGAUGGCGAAGGCAGCCUCCUGGGAUAACACUGACGUUCAUGCUCGAAAGCGUGGGUAGCAAACAGGAUUAGAUACCCUGGUAGUCCACGCCCUAAACGAUGUCAAUUAGCUGUUGGGCAACUUGAUUGCUUAGUAGCGUAGCUAACGCGUGAAAUUGACCGCCUGGGGAGUACGGUCGCAAGAUUAAAACUCAAAGGAAUUGACGGGGACCCGCACAAGCGGUGGAUGAUGUGGAUUAAUUCGAUGCAACGCGAAGAACCUUACCUGGUCUUGACAU
rnacentral:rRNA from 1 species